UACGUAGGGGCCGGAGCGUUGUCCGGAGUUACUGGGCGUAAAGCGCGCGCAGGCGGCUCGUCAAGCCUGACGUGAAAGCCCCCGGCUCAACCGGGGAGGGUCGUCGGGGACUGGCGGGCUUGAGGUCGGCAGGGGUUGGUGGAAUUCCCGGUGUAGUGGUGAAAUGCGUAGAGAUCGGGAGGAACACCCGUGGCGAAGGCGGCCAACUGGGCCGGACCUGACGCUGAGGCGCGAAGGCGUGGGGAGCGAACAGG
rnacentral:rRNA from 1 species